GAUUAACGCUAGCGGCAGGCCUAAUACAUGCAAGUCGAACGGCAGCACGGGUAGCAAUACCUGGUGGCGAGUGGCGCACGGGUGCGUAACGCGUAUGCAAUCUACCUAUAACUGGGGAAUAGCCUUCCGAAAGGAAGAUUAAAACCGCAUAAUAUCACGAAGCGGCAUCGUUUUGUGAUCAAAUCUCCGGAGGUUAUAGAUGAGCAUGCGUGACAUUAGCUAGUUGGUGAGGUAACGGCUCACCAAGGCUACGAUGUCUAGGGGGUCUGAGAGGAUGAUCCCCACCA
rnacentral:rRNA from 1 species